rnacentral:rRNA from 1 species
GAACCGUGCGAACGUUGUUCGGAAUCACUGGGCUUAAAGGGCGCGUAGGCGGUCUGCCAAGUCCGGGGUGAAAGCCCCCAGCUCAACUGGGGAAGUGCCUUGGAUACUGGUGGACUUGAGCGAGAUAGGGGUUGUGGGAACUUCCGGUGGAGCGGUGAAAUGCGUUGAUAUCGGAAGGAACGCCGGUGGCGAAAGCGCACAACUGGACCUCUUCUGACGCUGAGGCGCGAAAGCCAGGGGAGCAAACGGGAUUAGAUACCCCGGUAGUCCUGGCCCUAAACGAUGGGUACUAGGUAGUGGACUGACAUGGGUUCACUGCCGAAGCAAAAGUGGUAAGUACCCCGCCUGGGGAGUAUGGUCGCAAGGCUG